GUGGUGAUGAUUUGUUGUGACUGACUUGUGAUGUUCCAAUCAUUUGUCCUCUAAGAAGUGCUGAACUG